rnacentral:rRNA from 1 species
UAGGGAAUCUUCCACAAUGGACGCAAGUCUGAUGGAGCAACGCCGCGUGAGUGAAGAAGGGUUUCGGCUCGUAAAGCUCUGUUGGUAGUGAAGAAAGAUAGAGGUAGUAACUGGCCUUUAUUUGACGGUAAUUACUUAGAAAGUCACGGCUAACUACGUGCCAGCAGCCGCGGUAAUACGUAGGUGGCAAGCGUUGUCCGGAUUUAUUGGGCGUAAAGCGAGUGCAGGCGGUUCAAUAAGUCUGAUGUGAAAGCCUUCGGCUCAACCGGAGAAUUGCAUCAGAAACUGUUGAACUUGAGUGCAGAAGAGGAGAGUGGAACUCCAUGUGUAGCGGUGGAAUGCGUAGAUAUAUGGAAGAACACCAGUGGCGAAGGCGGCUCUCUGGUCUGCAACUGACGCUGAGGCUCGAAAGCAUGGGUAGCGAACAGGAUUAGAUACCCUGGUAGUCCACGCCGUAAACGAUGAGUGCUAAGUGUUGGGAGGUUUCCGCCUCUCAGUGCUGCAGCUAACGCAUUAAGCACUCCGCCUGGGGAGUACGACCGCAAGGUUG